rfam:Ciona savignyi cont_33196, whole genome shotgun sequence.
GCUUAUCACCAUUCCAGAUUGAAUAUACCCGAUCUCGUCUGAUCUCGGAAGUCAAGCAAUCUCGGGCUUGGUUAGUACUUGGAU